rnacentral:lncRNA from 10 species
AAUGGAAUGGAAUGGGAUGGAAUGCAAUGCAAUGGAAUGCAAUGGAAUAAAAUGAAAUGGAAUGGAAUGGAAUAAUGAAAUGUUAGCUGAGAUUGUGCCACUGCGCUCCAGUAUGGGUGACAGAGUGAAAUACUCUCGAAAGAAAGGAAUGGAAUGGAAUGCAAUGGAAUGGAAUGGAUAAAAUCGAGUGGAAUGGAAUGGAAUGGAGGGGAAUGGAAUGGAAUGGAAUGUAGUGGAGUGGAAUGGAAUGGAGUGGAGGGGAGUCUAGUGGAAUGGAGUGGAGUGCAGUGGAGUGGAAUGGAAUGGAAUGGAAUUAAAUGGAAUGGAACGGACUGGAGUGGAGUGGAGUGGACUGGAAUGGAAUGGAAUGGACUCAAAUGGAAAGGAAUGAACUUGAAUGGAAUGGAAUGGACUCGAAUGGAAUCAUCAAUGAAUGGACUCGAAUG